CGCUACAGCCGUGUGGCAUGUUGACACACCCGAUCCCUUGAUCUCGAAAGUUAAGCAACGUCCAGUCUGGACAGUACUUAACUGGGAGACCACCCAAGGAUGACCGGAUGCUGUAGAUU
rnacentral:rRNA from 1 species